AGCAGCCGCGGUAAUUCCAGCUCCAAUAGCGUAUAUUAAAGUUGCUGCAGUUAAAAAGCUCGUAGUUGAAUUUCGGGAUCGAUAUAUCGGUCGUGCCUCGGUACGUACUGGUAUUUUCGGUUUCUACCUUCUGACGAACCUUGAUGUCAUUAAUUUGGUGUCUUGGGGAAUCAGGACUGUUACUUUGAAAAAAUUAGAGUGUUUAAAGCAGGCUCACGCUUGAAUACAUUAGCAUGGAAUAAUGAAAUAGGACGUUUGAUUCUAUUUUGUUGGUUUCUAGGAUCGACGUAAUGAUUAAUAGGGAUAGUUGGGGGCAUUAGUAUUCAAUUGUCAGAGGUGAAAUUCUUGGAUUUAUUGAAGACUAACUACUGCGAAAGCAUUUGCCAAGGAUGUUUUCAUUAAUCAAGAACGAAAGUUAGGGGAUCGAAGACGAUCAGAUACCGUCGUAGU
rnacentral:rRNA from 1 species